UACAGAGGGUGCAAGCGUUGUUCGGAAUUACUGGGCGUAAAGCGCGUGUAGGCGGCUCUGCAAGUUGGGGGUGAAAUCCCUCGGCUUAACCGAGGAAGUGCGCUCAAAACUACAGAGCUUGAGUACCGGAGAGGGUGGUGGAAUUCCCGGUGUAGAGGUGAAAUUCGUAGAGAUCGGGAGGAACACCAGUGGCGAAGGCGACCGCCUGGACGGAUACUGACGCUGAGACGCGAAAGCGUGGGGAGCAAACAGG
rnacentral:rRNA from 1 species